AUCAAGUUAGUUUAAAGAAAAUAUCAGAUUGUGGAUUUGAAGAUGAGGGCUUUUCUUACUUGAUU
rnacentral:tRNA from 1 species